GAUCCUAUUUGAACAGCAUCCACAAUCAAAGGCUUUAUAGUGUGUGAUGAUAUAGAUGCUGGAAGGGAGUGUAUCAUUAAGGGAGUCUGUAUCUACAUGGGUGAAGAUCCAGAAAACCUUGUGCAGCAAUAUGUGACGCCAUCAACGAGGCCAUUGAAGACACCACUGUUGGGAUUUAUGUUCUUAAAGAACAUGCUUCAAGUGAGGAACCAGAGGACAUCGGAAUUGUCCUUGAAGACAUCAAGGUGUUGCAAGAUCUUGAUAAUGUAGCAUUAGCUGUUGCUAUGCUGUUUGGACUAAUGUAUGUCCUGAACUUCAGAUACCAUGCUGGCCUUUGUUAUACCUUUUGAGGUAAUCCAAAAGAUUUUCAUGGAACUUGAUGGAGGGAAACUUUCCAACAAAGCACUUGCUCUAAAAAACAGGCUCUUCCAGUCAAAGGGUCAGAGAAACUGUGCCGUCAGCCAAACAGCGUAGUUGUCCCUAAAGGCAUCAUUGGUAUGGCUAUACCGUUUGGACUAGUUUUGUUUGUUUGAAUUAAUUGGACAGGAUUUGCAUGGAACUGCAUGGAAAUAACCUUUUGCAAACAAAGCAAAAGUUAAAACAGGCUCUUUUAGUAA